AUUGAACGCUGGCGGCAUGCUUUACACAUGCAAGUCGAACGGUAACAGGCCGCAAGGUUCUGACGAGUGGAGAACGGGAGGGUAAUGCAUCGGAACGGGCCCCGUCGUGGGGGAUAACUACUCGAAUGAGUAACUAAUACCGCAUACGAUCUAUGGAUGAAAUCGGGGGACCGUAAGGCCUCGCGCGAUUUGAGCGCACGAUGUCAGAUUAGGUAGUUGGUGGGGUAAAGGCUCACCAAGCCAACGAUCUGUAGCUGGUCUGAGAGGACGACCAGCCACACUGGGACUGAGACACGGCCCAGACUCCUACGGGAGGCAGCAGUGGGGAAUUUUGGACAAUGGGCGCAAGCCUGAUCCAGCAAUGCCGCGUGCAGGAAGAAGGCCUUCGGGUUGUAAACUGCUUUUGUACGGAACGAAACGGCUCUGGUUAAUACCCGGGGCUAAUGACGGUACCGUAAGAAUAAGCACCGGCUAACUACGUG
rnacentral:rRNA from 1 species